rnacentral:lncRNA from 12 species
AUGGCAAGAUUCCACUCUUUUUCGGGACACCUAGAAUUGUUUGUACACGUGAGAAACUGUAAAUACCCUCGAAGACAGUCAAGGAAGGGACUGCUUGAACAAACCCUAUCCAUACAGCCAUUUAAAAUGAUCCUAUUUACCUGGAAAGACAGGAGACACUGGUCUUUAAAAACAAAAAACAAAACAAAACAAAACCCCAGAAAACCAUGUGCGUGUGUGAGGUCUCCCAGGUUUACACAGCAGCGUAGUAAUUCUUUCUGGCAGCCGGGACUGUGGGUCGGGGUGUUGCCGCGUCUAUUCAGAGCAGAUCUUACUGCGCAGAGUGGAAACCAGGUGGAAAAAUCUAAACAGCACGGACUCGAUGUUGUGUAGACGAAGCAGAGCAACUGAAUAAUCCUUUGAUUGGUCUCCAGGGCUCAGGCCGUCCUGAAAAUUCCACCGUAUCAUUAUUUUUUC